rnacentral:rRNA from 1 species
UACGUAGGGGGCAAGCGUUGUCCGGAUUUAUUGGGCGUAAAGAGCUCGUAGGCGGCUUGGCAAGUCGGAUGUGAAACCUCCAGGCUUAACCUGGAGUCGCCAUUCGAUACUGCUAUGGCUAGAGUUUGGUAGGGGACCACGGAAUUCCUGGUGUAGCGGUGAAAUGCGCAGAUAUCAGGAGGAACACCGGUGGCGAAGGCGGCGGGCUGGGCCGGUACUGACGCUGAGGAGCGAAAGCGUGGGGAGCGAACAGGAUUAGAAACCCGGGUAGUCC